GCAAAACGCGAAGAACCUUACCUGGCCUUGACAUGCCACUAACGAAGCAGAGAUGCAUUAGGUGCUCGAAAGAGAAAGUGGACACAGGUGCUGCACGGCUGUCGUCAGCUCGUGUCGUGAGAUGUUGGGUUAAGUCCCGCAACGAGCGCAACCCUUGCCAAUAAUUGCCAUCAUUCAGUUGGGCACUUUAUUGGGACUGCCGGUGACAAACCGGAGGAAGGUGGGGAUGACGUCAAGUCCUCAUGGCCCUUAUGGCCAGGGCUUCACACGUAAUACAAUGGUCGGUACAGAGGGUAGCCAACCCGCGAGGGGGAGCCAAUCUCAGAAAGCCGAUCGUAGUCCGGAUUGUAGUCUGCAACUCGACUACAUGAAGUCGGAAUUGCUAGUAAUCGCAAAUCAGAACGUUGCGGUGAAUACGUUCCUGGGUCUUGUACACACCG
rnacentral:rRNA from 1 species